rnacentral:rRNA from 1 species
CCUACGGGUGGCAGCAGUGAGGAAUAUUGGUCAAUGGGCGCGAGCCUGAACCAGCCAAGUCGCGUGAGGGAUGAAGGUUCUAUGGAUCGUAAACCUCUUUUAUAAGGGAAUAAAGUGUGGGACGUGUCCUAUUUUGUAUGUACAUUAUGAAUAAGGCUCGGCUAAAUCCGUGCCAGCAGCCGCGGUAAUACGGAGGAUCCGAGCGUUAUCCGGGUUUAUUGGGUUUAAAGGGUGCGUAGGCGGCCUUUUAAGUCAGCGGUGAAAGUCUGUGGCUCAACCAUAGAAUUGCCGUUGAAACUGGGAGGCUUGAGUAUGUUUGAGGCAGGCGGAAUGCGUGGUGUAGCGGUGAAAUGCUUAGAUAUCACGAAGAACCCCGAUUGCGAAGGCAGCCUACCAAGCCAUGACUGACGCUGAUGCACGAAAGCGUGGGGAUCAAACAGGAUUAGAUACCCUUGUAGUC